AUUGAACGCUGGCGGCAUGCUUUACACAUGCAAGUCGAACGGUAACAGGGUGCUUGCUCCGCUGACGAGUGGCGAACGGGUGAGUAAUAUAUCGGAACGUACCCAAGAGUGGGGGAUAACGUAGCGAAAGUUACGCUAAUACCGCAUACGAUCCAAGGAUGAAAGCAGGGGACCUUCGGGCCUUGUGCUCCUGGAGCGGCCGAUAUCUGAUUAGCUAGUUGGUGAGGUAAAGGCUCACCAAGGCGACGAUCAGUAGCUGGUCUGAGAGGACGACCAGCCACACUGGAACUGAGACACGGUCCAGACUCCUACGGGAGGCAGCAGUGGGGAAUUUUGGACAAUGGGCGCAAGCCUGAUCCAGCAAUGCCGCGUGAGUGAAGAAGGCCUUCGGGUUGUAAAGCUCUUUUGUCAGGGAAGAAACGGCUGUGGCUAAUAUCCACGGCUAAUGACGGUACCUGAAGAAUAAGCACCGGCUAACUACGUGCCAGCAGCCGCGGUAAUACGUAGGGUGCAAGCGUUAAUCGGAAUUACUGGGCGUAAAGCGUGCGCAGGCGGUUUUGUAAGUCUGUCGUGAAAUCCCCGGGCUCAACCUGGGAAUUGCGAUGGAGACUGCAAGGCUAGAAUCUGGCAGAGGGGGGUAGAAUUCCACGUGUAGCAGUGAAAUGCGUAGAGAUGUGGAGGAACACCGAUGGCGAAGGCAGCCCCCUGGGUCAAGAUUGACGCUCAUGCACGAAAGCGUGGGGAGCAAACAGGAUUAGAUACCCUGGUAGUCCACGCCCUAAACGAUGUCUACUAGUUGUCGGGUUUUAAUUAACUUGGUAACGCAGCUAACGCGUGAAGUAGACCGCCUGGGGAGUACGGUCGCAAGAUUAAAACUCAAAGGAAUUGACGGGGACCCGCACAAGCGGUGGAUGAUGUGGAUUAAUUCGAUGCAACGCGAAAAACCUUACCUACCCUUGACAUGUCAGGAAUGCCGAAGAGAUUUGGCAGUGCCCGAAAGGGAACCUGAACACAGGUGCUGCAUGGCUGUCGUCAGCUCGCGUCGUGAGAUGUUGGGUUAAGUCCCGCAACGAGCGCAACCCUUGUCAUUAGUUGCUACGCAAGAGCACUCUAAUGAGACUGCCGGUGACAAACCGGAGGAAGGUGGGGAUGACGUCAAGUCCUCAUGGCCCUUAUGGGUAGGGCUUCACACGUCAUACAAUGGUACAUACAGAGGGCCGCCAACCCGCGAGGGGGAGCUAAUCCCAGAAAGUGUAUCGUAGUCCGGAUCGUAGUCUGCAACUCGACUACGUGAAGUUGGAAUCGCUAGUAAUCGCGGAUCAGCAUGCCGCGGUGAAUACGUUCCCGGGUCU
rnacentral:rRNA from 1 species